rnacentral:miRNA from 1 species
CCCCCUAUAGUAUAGGGGGUUUGAUGCUUUUAUCCCUAUAUCAAUUCACAAUUUACUAUUUCGAAAUUUGAAACUUGACCAAAUCUAAUGAAUGAUUUUUAUUUUUUUUCCUUUUGCUUUGUGUGAUCUACUUAGAGUCUUAGACCAUCGCAUAUGAGACGCACCCCUUUUAGUCUACAUCACAAUUGCAUGUGAUAAUUCCUACCAAAGAGAGAGGAAAUGUAGUGCAUCAAGGAGAGGUGAGAGAAGAGCAUUUGAUAGGGAUCCAUGCAAUGCCAUAACUACAUUGAAAGGUGAACUUGACUAUUUACAACACAAGCAAACUGACAGAGAAAACCUCUUAUAUAGUAAAGAGAACUUGGAAUGGUCACUUGAUGGCUUAUUUUUGCUCUUCCUUAUUCGACUUAUAUGACCAAACAUUGAAAUUUUGUAGUACCAAUAAAUACUUGUUUCCUUUUUCCUAUAAAAAAGAAACAUUAAAUACUUGUGACUCGCACUAAGCAUGUGAGGUGUGCUUGAUGGUCCUGGGUCCUAGUGAGAUAUUGCAACAUAAACAAAGAGUCGAUUGCUAUGAUCAGGUGCGUAAUCUGUAUUGAAUGAGCUUGUACUAGUCUGUCCAGUAGCGACCAAAACUCAUCUUGAUUAUUUGUUGAAUGUUCUAUUGGUGACAAGAAUGCUGAUAUGAAUAAACCUUCUCAGUUUCUAAGAACCCCUCCUAUACCUGCAGGUCUUGGAUUACCAUAUGCGACCCAUCUACAUUGAGCUUGACGAAAUCUGAAGGGGGAGGAAGCCAACGGAGGGUAAUCAAGUUAGAAGGGGUGGUUUGGUUGGCCUCAAAUGAAGCUAGAUGGUUGGGGGACGCAUGGAUGUUGUAAGAGUAGGUGGAUCGAAUACUUUGCAAGUGUAACGAAGUGGCGUUGAAGAUGAGGUCGUUUUGAGCUUUCUUAUUAUGACUUGUUAUUAGUAUUCACAUCUUAAAUUUUCUUCGAUUUGCAUUAGUGCUAUUUUCCACCAUUAUUAUGUAUUAAUGGCGUAAAAUUACAAUAAUAAAAAAAUGAUAUAUACAAAAUUUUGUAAUUCAAAUAUUUUUCAUCUCUGUCUCCUAGUCACGUAUGCUCUUAACGAAUCAAUUUUAAAUAGGGGUGUACAAAACAACCGAUAUCGAUCAUUUCGAUUGUUAACUGACCGUUUGGUUCAAUAAUUUUACCAAACCGAGAAAACAGUACGAUGAUCGGUAGGGAACCAAAUACUUAAACCACUUUUGAAUGGUAUAGGUUUUACAGUGCGGUGUCGUGCAAUACUGAUAACGAAUAUUAUGUGUGAAACACAACUUAAGAGAAAAAGGAAUAAAUAUAGAUUAGGGCACAAAAAUGAUUGAGCGAAGAUAAGAAAUGAAACAAUGAAAACUUUUUGUCUCUAAACUCUAAAAAUAUAAAGUUCUCUGCCUCAGAUCAAAUAUGAUGAUGUUGAUAAUUGGUGAAUGAUGUUUGAAAUAUUGGUUAAUGGUCUAUACUUAUAUAGAUGAAUUAUUGUAAGAUAGUUAAAUAAGAUGUUGAUAAUUUGAAUGAAUGAUCCUUAGUUUUUGGAAUAUUCGGUAUGUAAUUGAUUUUUUUAUCAUAUUUAACAUAUUUAUAUUCUUUGUUACAUUAUUUUUGCAAUUUUAAACUUGCUUGGGCAUCAUAUUCCUUUUUUACAAAAUGAAAAAAAAAAAACAAAACCGAAAACCAAUCUGAAGCAUACCAAACCAUACUGACCGCUAUGAUACAAUAUACGGUAUAAAGGUUUCGUAUACCAAUAACGAAACCUACCCUUUGAUUUUGUACCGAUAGUACAGUCUUAUCGAACCGUACACCCCUUAAUUUAAUUGAUAAAUCUAAAAUCCACCCAAGAUAAGAUUUGAAACAGACCGACCWWCUCUAGCCAUGUACGUGCCCAAAAUCGAAGUACGUAAUUAAAUUCCACCACCUAACUUCACUAACUUCACGUACUUCAGCCAAAAACUACGCGAAGAAAGACUCAGUCGCCUUAAUUACCUGAAACAAACUUUCUGCACUGUCAAAUCUUUAACUCURUGAACUCACCUAAAUCACCUACUUGUUUGUUACCCCAUUGGGCAAUGUCCACUCUGUACCAUUCAACAUCUACCUUUCGUAAAAAAAAGUCUUACCGCAUUUAUGAAAUAGGUUUCAGUUAUGACCCUCAAUUUAAUGUAGAAACGUUUAAUUCCCUAUAUAAACAACCCCUUUGAAGAAUGCUCCAUUCAUUGUCGAGAUUUGUUUCCCUUUCACCCAAUUGGCUUCUCCCUUUUGACAAAAUGUUUCUUCUUUUUGGCAAAUGAAAAUCUUGAUUGGUUUGUUUCAUGCAAUCGAGAAUAUUGCGCUUCUCAUUUUAGUAAAUGUAUUUCAAUCAUUUGAUUGUUUCUCUCUUGGGAUUUUAGCAACAUUUACAAGAGAGGCAUAUGAUGUUUUUAUGGCAUAUUGUUUCAUCUACAGUCYUACAUGUGACAAUUAGGUUACGAGGUAUAGCCAAGGAUGACUUGCCGACGAAAGUAAGUACAUUCAUGUAUUUUGUAAGGUCGGCAAGUUAUCUUUGGCUACAUCUCUACCUAAUUCUUCUCAUGCUAGAUUUACGAUGAAUGUGCGCACACGUUGAAAAUGGAGGAGCAUUAGCUAUUAAAAAAACGUCAAAUUACGAUAAUCUGAAAAGGUUAUGUGAUCGACAAACUCAUGCAUGUUUGUUCAUUAAAAUUCAUAUAUUUUAUAUCUAUUUUUGGUUGAUUAGUGUACUUGGUUUUUUGUACAGGAGGACACAUUGCAUGCCACUCUUUCCGGAGGAUGUUGUUAUGUUUCUUUUUUUGAUAGGAAGAUGUUGUUAUGUAAAUUUUCCAUGUUAAUUUUAGAAUAGCGUUUUGCCAUAUAACGUUAGUAAAUUUUGCACUUAACCAUUCAAACUUUCAAAAGUUGCAGUGUAACUUCGAAACUUAUAAAUUUUCAUCACAGCCAUUCGAACCGGGGCUGAACCACAAGGCACAAAUAGAUCCUCGUGUAACACUCAAAAUCGAUUAGUAAUAAAAUACCAGUAUACUUCCAAAGUUGAACCAUUAGUAAAUAAAUUAUCAGUAUAUAUACUUCUAAAUCGAACCAUCGGCAUCAAAUUAUCAACAAACAAAUAUGUGUAAUGUGUCGAGAAUUGCAGAGAGAAUAUUUGGCAAUGAGUAAAGACGUAUUUAUUACAACUAAUCAUAUUUAAAACUACAUAUUAGAUAAUUACUGAUAAUAAGGACCAUGUUGUACAACGUAGUAUUGAUUGUAUAAAUCUUUAUGACAAUCUUGGGUCAAUCAACUAUUGACAUUGGUUAUUGUAUCUAUACUUUUGGCAAAUUAGAAGUUUGUGUUAUUUGCAAUUUCUUCUGCCUCUCAAGACAUUAAUACCCUUGAAUCUUAUACAAGAAACAUGACAAAUAUAUUCAUUUCCAGUGCUUUCUAAGAUUUUAUCAAAUAAACAGUUGCAGUACGUUUUUGUGAAUUCGUAUGUUUCCUCAAGUAUUAACGUCUAUGAUCAUAUUUCAAGUUUUUUUAUAGGAAGUUUCAAAAAUAACUAAAUGAAAAAUAAGCAAUUACUCAUACAUAUCUGUAUUUGUUUCUAUAUAUAUAUGUAUAUCAAUGUAUUAUAUGUCUGCGUGUGUAGUAACAGUAAUUAUAUUUUUAACGUAAUCUGCUUAUAAAAUUAUUGUUUUAAAGAUGGAUUUGUUAAUACUAAAUUAAAGUCCCUAUGUUUAGUCUCAAAUUUGAAGUUAAGAAAACUACGUGGAGGACGCUUGAAACUUCAGUUGUUUUGAUGCAAUUAGUUUAAUUUACGAUGGUAAAGUGCGAUUUUCUCUAGAUAAUGUGCUUAAGAUAAUUAUCCCUCCUUUUGUUUGUUUUUUAUUUAUAUAUAUUAGAUAUAUAUAUAUAUAUAUAUAUAUAUAUAUAUAUAUAUUUAUUUAUUUAUUACAAAAUAUACUAAGACCGAUUCAACCAGCGAUCAAAUCGUUUGAACCAGUAACCAAUUAAGUUUCCUCUUGAACAUCCGACCACUUUUAAGAACAUAGGUCAGAAGAGAGAGCAUGUAUAUACUAGUUCACUUCUUCUUGUGCUUGCUAUUGCGCGAGUAUUAUUCACUCUAUGUCUCUUUGGGAUAAUGCAAACAUUAAUUAUAUUGAAAAGAGAAAAGGAAUACAAGAUUAAAAAUAAUUUUUGAGACAAAAGAAUAAUUCAUUAUUUGAUUAUUAUAUACGUUUAAAGAAAAUUAACUCAUGAAACUAUUAUUGUUGUUAGUCUGAGGUCAACCCGGACACCAGUUAUUUAUUUAAAGAAAGUAAUGAUUUAAUUUGGAAUAUAUAUUUGAUAUCAAUCAGAAGUUACGAACCCACUGAAUAAAAUUGGUAAUAUAAUACACAAAUUUAAGGCAUGAAGCUU